CGCCAGGCCAUAUACGGUGCAGAGGAAGGGGAGUAGUGCCUUUAAAUAGGUAAAUAAAGCCCCUCCCACAACUGCAGGCAAGCCUUAACAUUUGUGUUUGGGGCAAAAAGGCUGUAUAGAGAGAUAAUGAGCAGUGUUAGGUAUAGCAUAGUAUAGAAAGGAAAUUACUUUAAGUGGGGUAGGGAAAAUAGACCGCUUGUUUAGAAAUGUGAGACCUC